UACGGAGGGUGCGAGCGUUAUUCGGAAUCACUGGGCGUAAAGCGCGCGUAGGCGGGUUGACAAGUCAGGUGUGAAAUCCCACGGCUCAACCGUGGAAUUGCACUUGAUACUGUUGACCUAGAGUCUGGCAGAGGGUGGCGGAAUUCCCAGUGUAGAGGUGAAAUUCGUAGAUAUUGGGAGGAACACCAGAGGCGAAGGCGGCCACCUGGACCAACACUGACACUGAGGUGCGAAAGCGUGGGGAGCAAACAGG
rnacentral:rRNA from 1 species